UACAGAGGGUGCAAGCGUUAAUCGGAGUUACUGGGCGUAAAGGGCGCGUAGGCGGUCAUGUAAGUGAGAUGUGAAAUCCCCGGGCUCAACCUGGGAACUGCAUUUGUGACUGCAUAGCUAGAGUACGGUAGAGGGGGAUGGAAUUCCGCGUGUAGCAGUGAAAUGCGUAGAUAUGCGGAGGAACACCGAUGGCGAAGGCAAUCCCCUGGACCUGUACUGACGCUCGUGCACGAAAGCGUGGGGAGCAAACAGG
rnacentral:rRNA from 1 species